rnacentral:rRNA from 1 species
CCUACGGGAGGCAGCAGUGAGGAAUAUUGGUCAAUGGACGAGAGUCUGAACCAGCCAAGUAGCGUGAAGGAUGACUGCCCUAUGGGUUGUAAACUUCUUUUAUAUGGGAAUAAAAUGUUCCACGUGUGGGAUUUUGUAUGUACCAUAUGAAUAAGGAUCGGCUAACUCCGUGCCAGCAGCCGCGGUAAUACGGAGGAUCCGAGCGUUAUCCGGAUUUAUUGGGUUUAAAGGGAGCGUAGGUGGAUUGUUAAGUCAGUUGUGAAAGUUUGCGGCUCAACCGUAAAAUUGCAGUUGAAACUGGCAGUCUUGAGUACAGUAGAGGUGGGCGGAAUUCGUGGUGUAGCGGUGAAAUGCUUAGAUAUCACGAAGAACUCCGAUUGCGAAGACAGUUCACUGGACUGCAACUGACACUGAGGCUCGAAAGUGUGGGUAUCAAACAGGAUGAGAUACCCCAGUAGUC